rnacentral:rRNA from 1 species
UGAGACCUGAUGCCGAGCCGAUUGUGGUGAAGUGGAUGAUCCUAUGCUGUCGAGAAAAGCCUCUAGCGAGUUUCAUGGCGGCCCGUACCCUAAACCGACUCAGGUGGUCAGGUAGAGAAUACCGAGGCGUUCGGGUGAACUAUGGUUAAGGAACUCGGCAAAAUGCCCCCGUAACUUCGGGAGAAGGGGGGCCAUGUCUGGUGAUGAGUCUUGCACUCUGAGCUGGGUGUGGCCGCAGAGACCAGCGAGAAGCGACUGUUUACUAAAAAAAACACAGGUCCGUGCGAAGCCGUAAGGCGAUGUAUACGGACUGACGCCUGCCCGGUGCUGGAACGUUAAGGGGACCGGUUAGUCACAUUUCGGUGUGGCGAAGCUGAGAACUUAAGCGCCAGUAAACGGCGGUGGUAACUAUAACCAUCCUAAGGUAGCGAAAUUCCUUGUCGGGUAAGUUCCGACCUGCACGAAUGGCGUAACGACUUCUCGACUGUCUCAACCAUAGGCCCGGUGAAAUUGCAUUACGAGUAAAGAUGCUCGUUUCGCGCAGCAGGACGGAAAGACCCCGGGACCUUUACUACAGUUUGAUAUUGGUGUUCGGUUCGGCUUGUGUAGGAUAGGUGGGAGACUGUGAAGCAUGCACGCCAGUGUGUGUGGAGUCGUCGUUGAAAUACCACUCUGGUCGUGCUGGAUGUCUAACCUGGGUCCGUGAUCCGGAUCAGGGACAGUGUCUGAUGGGUAGUUUAACUGGGGCGGUUGCCUCCUAAAGAGUAACGGAGGCGCCCAAAGGUUCCCUCAGCCUGGUUGGUAAUCAGGUGUUGAGUGUAAGUGCACAAGGGAGCUUGACUGUGAGACCGACGGGUCGAGCAGGGACGAAAGUCGGGACUAGUGAUCCGGCGGUGGCUUGUGGAAGCGCCGUCGCUCAACGGAUAAAAGGUACCCCGGGGAUAACAGGCUGAUCUUCCCCAAGAGUCCAUAUCGACGGGAUGGUUUGGCACCUCGAUGUCGGCUCGUCGCAUCCUGGGGCUGGAGUCGGUCCCAAGGGUUGGGCUGUUCGCCCAUUAAAGCGGUACGCGAGCUGGGUUUAGAACGUCGUGAGACAGUUCGGUCCCUAUCCGCUGUGCGCGUAGGAAUAUUGAGAAGGGCUGUCCCUAGUACGAGAGGACCGGGACGGACGAACCUCUGGUGUGCCAGUUGUUCUGCCAAGGGCAUGGCUGGUUGGCUACGUUCGGGAGGGAUAACCGCUGAAAGCAUCUAAGCGGGAAGCCUGCUUCGAGAUGAGUAUUCCCACCUCCUUGAGAGGGUAAGGCUCCCAGUAGACGACUGGGUUGAUAGGCCGGAUAUGGAAGCUGUAAGGGGUGGAGUUGACCGGUACUAAUAGGCCGAGGGCUUGUCCU